ensembl:lincRNA D830026I12Rik RIKEN cDNA D830026I12 gene
GAGAUUCAGAGGAGAACUCACAAACAAGAGGUUGCCUUCUGUCCAGCCCUAGUAUGAGGCUUGCUGUAGGCUGUUAUGUAAGGUGGAGAUGGUUUUGCUCAGACAAACUUUAUUACCAGCACCAAUGAGGGGAACCGAGAAUUCUGAGCCACUGUAGCUGACAUCACAGAACUCCAGCUGCUCUGUGGACUGUAUCCUUUUCUACCUCUGUCCUUAAAAGCUAUUGGAGCCCUUAUAAAAAAAAAACUGCUGCUGUGUACUUAGAGAGCAACUCUUAUUUCGAGUGAUUCUUUUACCUGAUAAGGCAUUUGGAUAUUUAUUCCUCUAACUCGACUCCAAUCCCCCUAUCUUUUUCGUGUUUGCCCAGGUAAAGAGGAAAAAUCUCCAAUCCACUCCCAUCUGUUUGCCUCAUCCAGCAGAGCUUCCAGGCCACAGAAGGCUCAAGACUACAAUAUAAUUCCUGAGACUGCCAAGACCUUGGGUGCUGAUGGCUUCUCGUGGAUGAGGAGAAAACAACAGGACCACUGGAUUAGGGCUUGUUACAGCCCAACUCUCCCGCUUCUUGCUUCUUGCUUCUUGCUUCUUACUAAAUAAUGGAUCAAUGACUGCCCGGCAGAAUUAGCCUUUCAAUUGACUUUUGUCUUUCGCCCAUCAUUUUCAAAGCUCAUCUCCCAUGGGGAAGACUGAAAGAAGGAGUCUACACUGAGGGAACAGAAGUCCUCUUGUGGCUUGAGGUUGCUUUAUUCUACUGCCCAAGGAAGGACAACAGGGACCCCUGUGCACUUCGCUUGGUUAUGACAAAAUUUCCAUUCUUCUAGCCUUUGUUUUGUCCCAUGGUAGCCUAUAUAUCAUAUCUAUAGAGCAUAGAGGCAUAAGCCCCCCCUUUGCUGUAAUUGGCCUAAAAGUCUUCACAUGAAGAGCCAUCAGCUCAUAUUUGCAUGCUCCAUUUACUCCAAUAAUGUCUUCCACAUUAUUGUUUUACAAUUAAUUUCAUAAUUAAUAAGGUUGCAAUUUAGAAUCCUUAUAAAAGUACAGGGAGAGGUUUAGAGAUGAAACUGUUCAAAACAGUACCGUAUGUAUUUUAGCUUCACUGGAGCAAAGAGGAAAUUGCCUGUUUCUUCCAGCUUGUUUCAGUGUCCUAGGGCAGGGGCAGAAUGUAAGUGAUCACGAAGUGCUUUUGCUUAUUGCCACUUGGAAACUGGCAAUACUGCUGUGAAGAGAUGCAUAUCAGUUCCAAGCAAGAGGCUGGGUAGUUUCCUUCUGUAAUCCCACACCAGUGUGUGAGUCAGAGUUAGAACCAGAAUCGUUCUAAAGGCGAAUUUGUGCAUCUGAAGCAACCUCAUGUUAUACCCAUUUGGUGAUUCAUGACAGAGAUGGAGUCUCAUUAAUAAGGAUUAUUUAUCCAAAGCCUUACUAAAAGCAUGUGAAACAGCUUUAAGACAGGACCUCAGGUAGCCCAGGCUAUUGUGGAGCUCACUCUGUGGCCAAUCAAGAUCUCCUAAUUUUCCUGUCUCAGCUCCCAAAUGCUGACACUUUAGAUAUGCAACACCAUGUUCAGGUUGAAAAACAAAAUCUUAUUAAAUAAAUUACUUAUGUCGAAAUC